AGGACGAACGCUGGCGGCGUGCUUAACACAUGCAAGUCGAACGAUGAAGCCUUCGGGUGGAUUAGUGGCGAACGAGUGAGUAACACGUGGGUGAUCUGCCUCGUACUUCGGGAUAAGCUUGGGAAACUGGGUCUAAUACCGGAUAUGACCAGGGGCUGCAUGGUUUCUGGUGGAAAGAUUUAUCGGUGCGAGAUGAGCCCGCGGCCUAUCAGCUUGUUGGUGGGGUAAUGGCCUACCAAGGCGACGACGGGUA
rnacentral:rRNA from 1 species